AAGGUUUUAAGUUAAAAAAACUAAUAAUCUUCAAAAUUGUUUAUAAAGAAAUCAAUUAAUCUUUA
rnacentral:tRNA from 1 species